rnacentral:rRNA from 1 species
GACGUAGGGCGCGAGCGUUGUCCGGAUUUAUUGGGCGUAAAGAGCUCGUAGGCGGCUCGUUGCGUCCAUCGUGAAAACUCAGGGCUUAACUCUGAGCUUGCGGUGGAUACGGGCGGGCUAGAGUUCGGUAGGGGAGACUGGAAUUCCUGGUGUAGCGGUGAAAUGCGUAGAUAGCUGGAGGAACACCGGGUGGCGAAGGCGGCGAUCCUGGACCGACAUUGACGCGUGAGGCGCGAAAGCUAGGGGAGCAAAGCGGG